rnacentral:rRNA from 1 species
UGACCUCGGAUCAGACGUGAUUACCCGCUGAACUUAAGCAUAUCACUAAGCGGAGGAAAAGAAACUAACAAGGAUUCCCUCAGUAACGGCGAGUGAACAGGGAAAAGCCCAGCACCGAAGCCUGUGGUCAUUUGGUCACUAGGCAAUGUGGUGUUCAGGUCGUUCCGUAGAGGUGCUGCUCCACCCUAAGUCCAGCAAUGAGUACGGUGGUACGGACAUGGCCCACAGAGGGUGAAAGGCCCGUGGGGGUGGAGAUCAGGCAGGCCAGUGCCUCUCUGGGUAGACCUUGGAGUCGGGUUGUUUGUGAAUGCAGCCCAAAGUGGGUGGUAAACUCCAUCCAAGGCUAAAUACUUGCACGAGUCCGAUAGCGAACAAGUACCGUGAGGGAAAGUUGAAAAGUACUUUGAAGAGAGAGUAAACAGUGCGUGAAACCGCUCAGAGGUAAACGGGUGGAGUUGAACUGCAAGCUUUGAGAAUUCAGCUGGUGAGUGUGGUUUGGGCUUGGUCAAGUUGGCUGGACAUUGAGGUCUGUGUAGUAGCAGGUCCCUGUUCUCGGGCGGGGAUGCGCGAUACACUUAUCAAGUGUUGUGCGCUUCAUUGUUUUUCGGGCCAGCUCGCCAGUGCACUUUCUCAGAGUGUUCACCACGACCGGCACUGCUGUCUGGCUGUUGUGGUUAAACCGGGCUUGCAGAGUCCUUGUGGCUUUGCAUGUACGGGAAGGCAGGUGGCACGUUGGUUAGCUUGUGGUUUACUGCAGGCGUUUGGCCUUCGUGUGUAAUCAGCUGACCGCAAUGGUUCUGUGCAGUGUGUCGGAGACGGCGGCUUGUGGUACGUGCGUGCGUGCUUGUUCUGUUGGCGAGUCCGGGUUUGGUUAACAUGUUGCAUGUAUGUGCAUGCCUGGGAAUGGCUCGGGUUCGUCCAGUGGGCGGUUGCGUAUGUGGUACUGUUAGAGGGCCAACAGUCUGUGGUGUAGUGGUAGACUAUCCACCUGACCCGUCUUGAAACACGGACCAAGGAGAGUAACAUGUGCGCGAGUCAUUGGGCGUAACGAAACCCACAGGCGCAGUGAAAGUAAAGGUCUGGCUUGUCUAGACUGAGGUGAGAUCCUGUCGUUUUCACGCAUGGUACCACCAAGCAUCGAGCGGCAGGCGCAUCACCGGCCCGUCCCAUGACGUAGACACAUAGUCUUCGGACCAGUGCACCGUCGGGGCGGAGCAUGAGCGUACAUGUUGAGACCCGAAAGAUGGUGAACUAUGCUUGCGCAGGUUGAAGCCAGAGGAAACUCUGGUGGAGGACCGCAGCGAUUCUGACGUGCAAAUCGAUCGUCAAACGUGAGUAUAGGGGCGAAAGACUAAUCGAACCAUCUAGUAGCUGGUUCCCUCCGAAGUUUCCCUCAGGAUAGCUGGCGUUCAGAAAAGUAAACAGUUUUAUCCGGUAAAGCGAAUGAUUAGAGGCCUUGGGGGCGAAACGUCUUCAACCUAUUCUCAAACUUUAAAUGGGUGAGAAGCUCAACUCGCUUGAGCGGAGUUGGGCCUUGAAUGUGAGUGCCAAGUGGGCCAUUUUUGGUAAGCAGAACUGGCGCUGUGGGAUGAACCAAACGUCCGGUUAAGGUGCCUAACGCGACGCUCAUCAGAUACCACAAAAGGUGUUGGUUGGUCUAGACAGCAGGACGGUGGCCAUGGAAGUCGGAAUCCGCUAAGGAGUGUGUAACAACUCACCUGCCGAAUCAACCAGCCCUGAAAAUGGAUGGCGCUGGAGCGUCGG